UACGUAGGGGGGCAAGCGUUGUCCGGAUUCAUUGGGCGUAAAGAGCGUGUAGGCGGCCAGGUAGGUCGGUUGUGAAAACUGGAGGCUCAACCUUCAGAGGUCGACCGAAACCAUCUGGCUAGAGUCCGGGAGAGGAGAGUGGAAUUCCCUGGUGUAGCGGUGAAAUGCGCAGAUAUCAGGAAGAACACCCGUGGCGAAGGCGGCUCUCUGGGACGGUACUGACGCUGAGACGCGAAAGCGUGGGGAGCGAACAGG
rnacentral:rRNA from 1 species